rnacentral:rRNA from 1 species
CAAGACAGGAUUAGAUACCUUGGUAGUCCACGUUCUUAAGGAUAUCAACUGGUUGUUGGGAGGGUUUCGGAAUUCCAUCGUAGCUAACGCGUGAAGUUGACCGCAGGGGAGUACGCAGUUCAAGGUUGAAACUCAAAGGAAUUGACAUGGGUCCCGCACAACCGCUGGAGCAUGUGGUUUAAUUCAGAAAUUACGCGAAAAACCUUCCCCACCCUUAUCACGUCAGGAAUCGGCAGAGAUGUGAGAGGGCUUUAAAGAGAACGUGAACACAUCCCUUGCAUGUAUUAACGUCAAGGAUUUCUUUGAGAACAAAAGUUAAGUCCCGCAACGAGGCCAUCCCUCGUCACUAGGCAUGGCGAAAUGGCACUUUCCCCCAUUGUCCGGAAUUCCCCCGGAGGAAGGUGGGGAGGAGUCUGGGUCAUCUUUCCCUUUAUGGGUAGGGCUACACACGUCAUACAAUGGCCGGGACAGAGGGCUGCCAACCCCUUUGGGGGACCUAAUCCCAGAAACCCUGUCGUAGUCUGCAUUGCAGUGAGCAACUCGGAUCCCCGAAGUUGGAAUUCAUAGUAAAUGCGGAUCAACUUGCUCCGGUGAACACGUUUCCCGCUCUUGUGCACACCUUCCGUCACACCACUCGACCGGGUUCCACC